CUCCACUUAUAGCUCAAGGAGAACCACAGCUAUGGGAGGGAGCACUGCUUGUGUGGAGACAAAUAGGUGAAGGCAGAAAUCAUACUAAUAAACAUCACCCUCCUCUUGCCAGUGUGGCCUUCGGUUUCUCCAUCGCGGAAGGCAAGAGGAGCUACAGACCAUGGAUGCUUUGAACCAUUUCCACAAGACUAGAAAUGACUGGAACCAAGUCAAGUGAAAAUAAUGCACCCUCCUUCUGAAGAUCUGAAAGUGCCUUUGACAAAUAUGAACUAAACCUCAAAAUCCUACAAGGCGGGAAUAUUGCCCCAUUUUGCAGAUGGGGAAACUGAGGCACAGAGUGGCUAAGUGACUGGCCUAAGGUUACACAGCAAGUCUGUGGCAGAGUCAAGAACAGAUUCCAGAUCUCCUGACUCCCAGCCCUUUUCUUUAGCCCCAGGACCAUCCUUCCCACCUAAGGGGAGAACUCCCCUUCCCGAGUUAACCCGCUGCUCUCAUUUCUAAUGGUUGAAGAGGAAUAAAACCAUGAGGGUGGACUUUGAGUUCUCCAUCUCUGCAGCAUGUGGCACUGAAUUAAGACUCACUUUAUUACCCUGGAAGUUGGGCUUUGGAGAAAGGCAGGGCCCUUCUGAGUGAUGGAGAGUUUCAAACGGACAGUUCAGCCAUGCUGGCUGUUCUGCCGCAGAGGAAAGCAGACUAGUGAUCUGAGCACAGGAUUUGAAACAGGAACUCAUAGGUUCUGAUCCUCAUUUUGAACUCCGCCUUUCUGCCUCCGUCUCAGUAACACGUGGCUGAUAUUAAUCUUUACGCUGCUCCUGGGAGAUGGGUAAAUAUUUGCAAGGCUCUUUGAA